ensembl:lncRNA
ACUCAUCAGAUUCUGAAUUUUUAAAGGUGCUGAAUUUCUUACUUAUAAUUUUUUUUUGCAUCAAAAUUACAUAUGUGAAUUUUUUAUGCCUGAAUUUAGCUCAUCAAAAUUCUAAAAACCAGUUAAAAAUUCAAUGUCUUCAAAAUUCACCAUCAAAAAAUUCAAUGUUCAAAAUUCGCCAUCAAAAAAUUCAAUGUUCACAAUUCGCUGUCAAAAAAUUCGCUGUUCACAUCUGGGGGACUCCUCCUCCGGUCAUGUGACGCAGACGGUUCACCUCACAAGACCGGGGUCAAUCACAGCUACCAGCAUGAACGACGGCGCUUCACAACACCGUCUGAACUGACCAGUCUGGUGAAAUUCUGGACUGGAUGGGAGACUCUACCAAGAACUCUCUCCACAGAAGUAGUGAAUGGCAGAUACCUGACAGCCUCCACCUGCUAUGAGACCUUACAUUCCCAGGACAUUACAAGGACUACACAUCAUUUAAGACUGACAUCCUGGCCUGUAUUUGCACUUGCCAGUCAAGAUAUGUUAGGUGUUGUUCUCUAGUUAGUUUUACUUGACUGACAAAACUAAGUGCACUUUUGGAUUCCCUCCCCUACCUGUUCUCCCAACUCACCUGACAGGUUAUCUGGCUCAAGUAUGCGUGUUUCUGCCAUACAUUUAAAGUAUCUGAAGUUAAGAAUAUUUCUGGUGAACAAUACAUGCAAUCACGGCAUUAAAGCAGGAGUUAAAAAUGAA